UUUCACGAAGAAAUUGUAAACCAAAAACGACUAAACAUUGGUUAAAUUGUAGGAACAAGUUAAAGAGGUCGUGUGCGCGCGAUUCUGGAAGUGGUUCUGUUUUGAGGGUUAUAUGUGUUUAUGCACGGGGAAUCAGAUUUAUAUGUCUUCAGGUAAGUUUUAGAGGAUCUCAAAAUGAAGAGUUUGAUAUAAAGAACACUCAUUUUUGUUAAGUAUUGAAAAAGUUAUAGUUCUUUGAAUUUUAUGUUAGAAAUCUGGAAAUUUUAGAGAAUUGUUGAGAUAGGAUUUUAUUUCUUAAGCUUUGUUUUCGUGAGCGUCAUCUCUGGUGCGACAUGUUAUGUAUAUCUUUAGGAAACCAGAAUGUUUAAGGUUUUAAUACUCGGUUGGGUUGUUGGCAGGCCGAGAAGAAUUAAACCGAGCUUAUAGACCAAGGAUCUAGCCCAAGACUGUAGAGAUCGACUUCCCGGUGCCUGAUAGACUGCCUUAGUCUGCGGAAGCUUCAUUAUCGAUUGCCAGUACGUGUUUUGAGUUGGGCAUAAAGUCUGUUGUGUUGUGAUGUAUUCACACCCUUGUAUGUUAUAGAUACUCCACAGUUUGUAUAAGCUUUAGGAGCUGUAGUUGUGUAAAUUUUUUUGGUUAUAUUUUGAUUAAGGUGUCUUUAGGUUUACUCGUGAAAUUGGUAAAUUUUGAGGUACACUUCAUGUA